rnacentral:rRNA from 1 species
UAACACAUGCAAGUCUAACGGGCUUUAGAAAGCUUGCUUUUUAAACUUAGUGGCGGACGGGUGAGUAACGCGUGAGCAACCUGCCUUUCAGAGGGGGACAACAGUUGGAAACGACUGCUAAUACCGCAUGAAAUUAUUGAGUCGCAUGGCUUGAUAAUCAAAGGAGCAAUCCGCUGAAAGAUGGGCUCGCGUCCGAUUAAAUAGUUGGUGAGGUAACGGCUCACCAAGUCGACGAUCGGUAGCCGGACUGAGAGGUUGAACGGCCACAUUGGGACUGAGACACGGCCCAGACUCCUACGGGAGGCAGCAGUGGGGGAUCUUGCACAGUGGGGGAAACCCUGAUGCAGCAACGCCGCGUGAGGGAAGAAGGUUUUCGGAUUGUAAACCUCUGUCCUUGGUGAAGAAGGAAGUGACGGUAUCCGAGGAGGAAGCCACGGCUAACUACGUGCCAGCAGCCGCGGUAAUACGUAGGUGGCAAGCGUUGUCCGGAUUUAUUGGGCGUAAAGGGAACGCAGGCGGUCUUUUAAGUCUGAUGUGAAAGCCUUCGGCUUAACCGGAGUAGUGCAUUGGAAACUGGAAGACUUGAGUGCAGAAGAGG